rnacentral:rRNA from 1 species
AGUGAACGCUGGCGGUAGGCCUAACACAUGCAAGUCGAACGGCAGCACAGUAAGAGCUUGCUCUUACGUGUGUCGAGUGGCGGACGGUUGAGGAAUACAUCGAAAUCUACUUUUUCGGGGGGGAUAACGUAGGGAAACGUACGCUAAUACCGCAUACGACCUACGUGUGAAAGCAGGGGUUCUUCGUACCUUGCGCGAUGGAAUAAGCCGAUGUCGGAUUAGCUAGUUGGCGGGUUAAAGGCCCACGAAGGCUACGAUCCGUAACUGGUCUGAGAGGAUGGUUACACACACGGGCAGUGAGAGACGGUACAGACUCCUACGGGAGGCAGCGGUGGGGAAUACUGCACGAUGGAGGCAAGGCUAAUCCUGCCCUACCGGGUGGGGGCAGAUCGCCUUCUGGUUCUAAAGCCAUUAUGUUGGGAGAGAAAAACAGCACGUUAAUCCCCCGCUGUUCUGACGGUACCGAGAGAAUAAGCUCCGGCUAACUUCGUG